rnacentral:rRNA from 1 species
UACGUAGGGUGCAAGCGUUGUCCGGAAUUAUUGGGCGUAAAGGGCGCGUAGGCGGCUUGGCAAGUGGAUGGUGAAAUCCCUCGGCUUAACCGAGGAACUGCCGUCCAAACUGCUUCGCUUGAGACCGGGAGAGGUGAGUGGAGUUCCCAGUGUAGCGGUGAAAUGCGUAGAUAUUGGGAGGAACACCAGUGGCGAAGGCGGCUCACUGGACCGGUACUGACGCUGAUGCGCGAAAGCGUGGGGAGCAAACGGG